CCUCACCAGGUCCAGACAGAGGAAGGAUUGACAGAUUGAUAGCUCUUUCUUGAUUCUUUGGGUGGUGGUGCAUGGCCGUUCUUAGUUGGUGGAGUGAUUUGUCUGGUUAAUUCCGUUAACGAACGAGACCUUAACCUGCUAAAUAGGAUGCGGGAAUAGGCUUUUGCUGUCCCGUUAUCGCUUCUUAGAGGGACUUUGCGGUUAUAAAUCGCAAGGAAGUUUAAGGCAAUAACAGGUCUGUGAUGCCCUUAGAUGUCCUGGGCUGCACGCGCGCUACACUGAUGCGUUCAUCGAGUUUAUCCUUGGCCGAGAGGCCCGGGUAAUCUUUAGUACGCAUCGUGAUGGGGAUCGAUUAUUGCAAUUAUUAAUCGUGAACGAGGAAUGCCUAGUAUGCGCAAGUCAUCAGCUUGUGCAGAUUACGUCCCUGCCCUUUGA
rnacentral:rRNA from 1 species